rnacentral:rRNA from 1 species
AGUGAACGCUGGCGGUAGGCCUAACACAUGCAAGUCGAACGGCAGCACAGUAAGAGCUUGCUCUUACGGGAGGCGAGUGGCGGACGGGUGAGGAAUACAUCGGAAUCUACUUUUUCGUGGGGGAUAACGUAGGGAAACUUACGCUAAUACCGCAUACGACCUACGGGUGAAAGCAGGGGAUCUUCGGACCUUGCGCGAUUGAAUGAGCCGAUGUCGGAUUAGCUAGUUGGCGGGGUAAAGGCCCAUCAAGGCGACGAUCCGUAGCUGGUCUGAGAGGAUGAUCAGCCACACUGGAACUGAGACACGGUCCAGACUCCUACGGGAGGCAGCAGUGGGGAAUAUUGGACAAUGGGCGCAAGCCUGAUCCAGCCAUACCGCGUGGGUGAAGAAGGCCUUCGGGUUGUAAAGCCCUUUUGUUGGGAAAGAAAAGCAGCAGGUUAAUACCCCGCUGUUCUGACGGUACCCAAAGAAUAAGCACCGGCUAACUUCGUG